rnacentral:rRNA from 1 species
GACGAACCGUGCGAACGUUGUUCGGAAUCACUGGGCUUAAAGGGCGCGUAGGCGGCUCGCGAGGUCGGGGGUGAAAUCCCACGGCUUAACCGUGGAAGUGCCUUCGAUACCGGCGGGCUGGAGGAAGGUAGGGGUGCGCGGAACUUCUGGUGGAGCGGUGAAAUGCGUUGAUAUCAGAAGGAACGCCGGCGGCGAAAGCGGCGCACUGGACCUUUUCUGACGCUGAGGCGCGAAAGCCAGGGGAGCAAACGGG